rnacentral:lncRNA from 1 species
AGAAAACCAUGUCUUUUUCCGUGAUACUAUCCCAAAACUUUUGUAACAAGUUCCUGUAGUAUGCAUCUGUUAUUGUCAACUCUUUUUCUUUUUAUCUGUGUUUUGGGUCAUUAAUAUGACAUCUUUACUGUUCCAAACACAGAUAAUAUGACUCUGCAGACUGACACAAGAGAAAAUCAUUCAAGCAGGAUGAUCUUUUGGGUAAUCUAUAAGUUGGUGCAACCAUAUAUGAAUUCCAAUUUCCAUUGUUUCACAAUUUCAUAUGAUGGAUAUUUCUUGCCAUACACACCUGACAUCUCUUCUUGGAUUGCUUAUGCAAUUUUCAAACUUGAAGGAACCAUAUUGCAAUUCAAUAUUCAAAUUUGUUCAGUAUGACGCCAUCUACUAUCCUGCUUCUAACUCCAGUAAAUAGAACCUAUGAAAACAAAAAAGCAUGUAUGUUAGUAUAAUAAGGCAGUUACCUAUCAUUGUUUACAAUUACAGAUCUAAAGUACACAUACAACAUGGCGAGAGUAAGAAUUUUUUGGCUUCCCCUCCUAAUGACUACAAACAGAUCUCAACAGCCUCCAAAACAAAAAUAACACAUAUUAUUGAUAAAACAUGGUCAUCAUUUAAAUCAUCCAUUGAGAGAG